rnacentral:rRNA from 1 species
AUUGAACGCUGGCGGCAUGCCUAACACAUGCAAGUCGAGCGGAUGAAGCGAGCUUGCUCCUGGAUUCAGCCGCGGACGGGUGAGUAAUGCCUAUGAAUCUGCCUGGUCGUGGGGGAUAACGUCCUGAAACGGGCUCUAAUACCGCAUCCGUCCUGAGGUCGAAAGUGGGUGAUCUUCCGACCUCACGCUUUCUGAUUAGCCUAGGUCGGAUUAGCUAGUUGGUGGGGUAACGGCCUACCAAGGCGACUAUCCGUAACUGGUCUGAGAGGAUGAUCAGUCACACUGGAACUGAGACAGGGUCCAGACUCCUACGGGAGGCAGCAGUGGGGAAUAUUGGACAAGGGGCGAAAGCCGGAUCCAGCAAAGCCGCGUGUGUGAAGAAGGUCUUCGGAUGGUAAAGCACUGUAAGUUGGGAGGAAGGGAAGUAAGUUAAUACCUGGCUGUUUUGACGUUACCAACAGAAUAAGCACCGGCUAACUUCGUG